rnacentral:rRNA from 1 species
GGGCUUGCGCAGCCUACACAUGCAGUCGAACGGUAGCACAGAGAGCUUGCUCUCGGGUGACGAGUGGCGGACGGGUGAGUAAUGUCUGGGAAACUGCCUGAUGGAGGGGGAUAACUACUGGAAACGGUAGCUAAUACCGCAUAACGUCGCAAGACCAAAGAGGGGGACCUUCGGGCCUCUUGCCAUCAGAUGUGCCCAGAUGGGAUUAGCUAGUAGGUGGGGUAACGGCUCACCUAGGCGACGAUCCCUAGCUGGUCUGAGAGGAUGACCAGCCACACUGGAACUGAGACACGGUCCAGACUCCUACGGGAGGCAGCAGUGGGGAAUAUUGCACAAUGGGCGCAAGCCUGAUGCAGCCAUGCCGCGUGUAUGAAGAAGGCCUUCGGGUUGUAAAGUACUUUCAGCGGGGAGGAAGGUGAUGAGGUUAAUAACCUUGUCGAUUGACGUUACCCGCAGAAGAAGCACCGGCUAACUCCGUGCCAGCAGCCGCGGUAAUACGGAGGGUGCAAGCGUUAAUCGGAAUUACUGGGCGUAAAGCGCACGCAGGCGGUCUGUCGAGUCCGAUGUGAAAUCUCUCGGGGUCUACCUGUGGAACUGCGUUUCCAAACUGGGGGGCGAUAAUCUUGUUUACAGCGGGGGUACAAUCUCCGUGUGGCACAGCCUCAGCGUCAGACAUUCUUUACGGAGUCGGGACUCCGAG